CAGGUGUAUGAGGUUAAUUUCCUAAUGGGGGUAACUGGACUACGACCACGUAAGAUGUCAACAUUAGGGGAAGCUCCGUGAGGAGUGGACUAUUUUGGGGGCAACUUCCCUCUAAGCUGACACUUAUUUCGAAAGAAAAAAGUUUUUGAAAAGAUAAGAAUGUUCCUUGCAGCAUCAUGUACAGUAAUGAAAAACCAUAAACAAGAAGAGAGGUCACUGCCACACCUGACCGCCCCCCAAAAAGAUGGAGAAACACCUUCUCUGAUGCUCUUUCUUCACGCAGAUUCUAGUCGCCACUUGCCUCAUUUCCCUUCUUUCUGAAGAGUUUCUGUGAACAUUUCUUGCAAGCAGGACUUCUGGCCACAAAUCCCCUGUUUUUGUUAGUCUGAGAAAGAUUUGUUUAUUUUAGAGAGAGAGGGAGAGAGCAUGAGCGAACAGGAGAGUAGCAGAGGGAGAGGGACCGAGAACCUCGAGCCGACUGUACGCUGCGUGCAGGGACCCACAUGGGGCUCCAUCCCACGACCCUGAGAUCAUGACCUGAGCUGAAAUCAAGAGUCGGACGCUCACCCGCCUGAACCACCCAAGUGCCCUGGAAGACUUUAUUUCUCUUUUGCUUCAAAAGGAUCAUUUCGCUUUAUCC
rnacentral:lncRNA from 1 species